UACGUAGGAGGCGAGCGUUGUCCGGAAUCACUGGGCGUAAAGCGCGUGUAGGCGGGAAGGCAAGUCUGCUGUGAAAGCGCCUGGCUUAACCGGGCGAGGUCGGCGGAAACUGCUUACCUGGAGGACGGUAGAGGGGGGUGGAAUUCCCGGUGUAGUGGUGAAAUUCGUAGAUAUUCGCAAGAACACCAGUGGCGAAGGCGGCUCACUGGCCCGAUACUGACGCUGAGGUGCGAAAGCGUGGGGAGCAAACAGG
rnacentral:rRNA from 1 species